ensembl:lncRNA
GAUAAUGCUAUUGGUGAAGUCUUUCAGUCGGGGUUUAUAAAAACAACACUGUACUGAAUCUGCAUUAUUGAGAGUUUUAAAUGACAUUUCUAUGGCAACCGACUCUGGUGACAUGACUCUACUUCUGCUUAGAUUUUACAGCGGCGUUUGAUACAAUCAACCAUUAGAUUUUGAUCUCACAUUUAGAAACUUGUGUAGGUAUUCGAAGUAAUGCCUUGAAUUGCAUUAAGUCUUCAAAAGUUUCUCUGUUCAGAUGGGAGAAUGUAUGUCGACCUCAGUGCCUUUAUCUUGUGGUAUUCCACAAGGAUCUGUUUUAGCACCAGUUUUUUUUUUUUUUUUUUUUUUUUUUUUCUGUAUAUGCUGCUGUUAGGUCAGAUCUUUAGUAAAUAUGGUAUGUCAUUUCAUUGUUGUGCAGACGACACCCAGUUGUAUCUACCUCUGAAGCCUACUGCCUUAAUCACUGUACAGACUGGUGGAAUGUUUUGGCGAGAUUAAGGUGUGGAUGUCUGCUAGUUUGCUAAGUUUAAAUUAAUCAAAAACCUAAUUGAUUUUAUAUGGCCCUUCUGAGUCUGUUGACACAUCCAGAAUUGAGUUGGGUAUACUAUCCCAUUUUCUGGACACAUCAAGUAAAAAACUUAAAGGGAUACUCCACCCCAAUAUGAUAAUUUUGUCAUUAAUCACUUACCCCCUUGUCAUUCCAAACCCGUAAAAGGUUUGUUCGUCUUCGAUAUUUUGGAUGAAAACUGGGAGGCUUGUGACUGUCCCAUAGACUGCCAAGUAAAUUACACUGUCAAGGUCCAGAAAAGUAUGAAAGACAUUGUCAGAAUAGUCCAUCUGCCAUCAGUGGUUCAUCCGUAACUUUAUGGAGCGAUGAGAAUACUUUUUGUAUGCAAAGAAAACAAAAAUAAUGACUUUAUUCAACAAUUCUUCUCCUCUAUUUCUUUCCGCAUCAAUGUGGUGCCAUUUUGGAGAACAGCCGCUGAACGAAAGAAGCUUACGCUCUUCUGUGUCAGCCGUGCUGCACAG